GGGAAAUGGGUCUGGGUGGGUUACUGAAUGUUUCCACGCUGCAGGGAAUCUAAGCUCUUUGGUUGCACCUAAUUAAGGACCAAGCCCUCAGACACUCCUUUGACAAAGUUGGGAGCAUUUGAAAAUGGCUCUGUAGAUUCCGGUCUGAAACUGAACAAAUUAUGACUAAACCUUAGCAUUAUGGGACGAGAAAGGGGCUGCCGGGUCUAACACUAAUCGCACAGAGAGCUGGGUCCCGCCUGGUCUCUCAGUUCAAACUGAGCUGACCUCGGCCAGCACCCUGACCUCAUUCAGUCCAGAUGUAACCGUUUCAAACUAUUCCAGUAAUCCUUUCCAAUUUAAAAACCGGCAAAGCUUUGUGCCUGGGAUUGUAGUUGAGGAAUUCGAUUUUACAAAGCGCCGGUCCAUCACCAGAUCCCGGCUUCUGCCUCUCGGCCUGGACAGCCGGGCCAUAUUCAGCUGGAACUGUUCAUUCUGGGAGCUUUCCUGCAAAUCUGUUUGCGGCGGAUGUCGCACAGCUCCUUCUGAGGGAGCAACUUCGCGGCUUCUCCACUUAUUCUCAACUCAGAGAGUCAAACCAGACCCUGAGGUAAAUCACAGCAGCUAUAAAGGCUGCAAAUGUUCCUGGAAACCGGAACUCAUCCAAAGUCAAUUUGUUCAGCAGAGAUAGAAAAUGAACUGAAACCUGAGUUUAUGUUUGUCCGGGAAUCCCUCCCGUUUACCAGACAAGACCAGCUUCCCGCAUUACAGUAGCGCCUCGGCGUACGAACGACCCCGUUCACGAACAAAUCGGUUUACAAAUAGGAUUGUAUGUUUGCUUCAACGUACGUACGAAAUUCAAGGUACGAAUGAAGAUACUUAUUGUGAACAUACUUGCACAACGUGGGUUAUUAACAGUGGUUGCAGAUGAACUGGAACUGAAAAGGCACUAACUUCACUGAACUCCAAAGCAACAAUCAGAGGUUGGCCCAGCCUGUUGACAAUAUUGGCGUUAACUCCGACAUGGAAUCCUAACCACUUACCCAUACCAUCACCAAGACCAACUGUUUCCAUUCCUGUAACAUGAACUGACUAUGGUCCUCCUUCAACUCCUCUGCUGUUGAAACACUGAUCCAUAGCUGUGAUACUUCUGGAUUUCAACAUGUCAAUGCAUUCUUUGCCAGCCUCCUAUCAUAUACCCUCCAUAAAUGUUGCUGCCUAUGACAGUUAUCUGACUUGUACCAAGUCCCAUUUCUCAUCACUUUUCUGCUUGCAAACUUAAAUUGAUUCUAGAUUUCCAAAAGUGUGGAAACAGGCCCUUUGGCCCAACAAGUCCACACCGACACUCCGAAGAGUAACCCACCU